rnacentral:rRNA from 1 species
GAGCGACUGCAUCAGCAUGCCGCGUGUGUGAGAAGGCCUGCGGGUUGUAAAGCACUUUCAGAAGAGAAGAAAAGCGCAGGUGCUAAUAUCUCUGUGUCUUGACGUAACCUUCAGAAGAAGCACCGGCUAACUCCGUGCCAGCAGCCGCGGUAAUACGGAGGGUGCGAGCGUUAAUCGGAAUUACUGGGCGUAAAGCGUACGUAGGCGGUUAGAUUAGUCGGAUGUGAAAGCCCCGGGCUUAACCUGGGAAUUGCAUUCGAUACUGUCUGGCUUGAAUGUGGAAGAGGGAAGUGGAAUUCCAGGUGUAGCGGUGAAAUGCGUAGAUAUCUGGAGGAACAUCAGUGGCGAAGGCGACUUCCUGGUCCAACAUUGACGCUGAGGUACGAAAGCGUGGGGAGCAAACAGGAUUAGAUACCCUGGUAGUCCACGCCGUAUACGAUGAGAACUAGCCGUUGGAUUCAUCUGGAAUUCAGUGGCGCAGCUAACGCGUUAAGUUCUCCGCCUGGGGAGUACGGCCGCAAGGUUGAAACUCAGAGAAAUUUGACGGAUCG